rnacentral:tRNA from 3 species
CGGGGUGUAGCGCAGAUGGUAGCGCACCUGUUUUGGGAACAGGGGGUCGGAGGUUCGAGCCCUCUCACCCCGA